rnacentral:lncRNA from 1 species
AUGUGACGAGCAAUGGUGUCAGGUCUUCUGGGACUGAGGAAGUGAAGGGCUAGCCUCGGCCCGAGACUGGGGAGCCUCAGGCUUUACCACACGCUUCUGCUUCAUUUGACUCCCUGGCUCCCAUCACCUCCAGGAGCAGAUUUGGCCUCCCCCGGCAUGACAGCCCUCCCCAGCCUGCUCCCUUCCUCCCUUCCCGGGCUUCUGACACUAUCCCCCCUGGACCCCGUGACCCGGGCCCCGGGCCCGGAGCGCUCGUUCUCUUCCGCUCGGCCUCCUGCCUUCCCUGGCACCUCCACUGCCUUCCUUCUCCUCACACUGUACAUAUUUUGUGUCUCUGUAGUUAUUAACAUGUUGUCUCUUCCAUUAGAAUGUGCGCCCCCGAGGCAAGGGACCUGAUUUUUUGCUUUCCUUUGUAUCCACAGCACUUAGCCCAGUGCCUGGUGCCUAGUGAGCCCUGAAUAAAUGUUUUGUUGACCCAUUUCCGGUUCCUGUGGCCCGGGCGCCCCGGUGCCCGUGGGCACCUAGUGGUUUGUGGAGAGCUUGCCAUCUGUUCUCAUUUCAUCCCCACCACAGCCCUGCCAAGUAGGGAGCACAACCAGCAUCCCCAUUGUACAGAUGAGGAAACCGAAACACGGAGCUCAAGUAGCUCAGCUGCCGGGGUCCCUGACUUCAAAUCUGGGGCUCUUUCUGUGCUGUGGCAUCCGCCUCUUAGGGGGAAGCUCAGUUUACUUCAAGGGGCAGUUAAUACGUUCCCAGUGAUCCCCACAAGGCUCUGUGCCGGGUGCCGGGGAUGCAGAGAGCAGUGACUAGAGCCUGCCCUCCAGGAGCUUACCUUCUUUUUGCACAUACAGCGUUCCCUCAGCCCAUUUUGUACCCAGUGGUUGGGGAAUCGAGUUUCCCCGACUUAAGUCUCUGGAAGGUGCAUAGGGGAGGCGAUUCCCGCUUGAGGGUUCUGAGCAGAGGGAGAUAAAGUCGCCUCCGGGCUUACCUGGGACAGGAGAACGCUGGUGAGCGUCCCGGAAAGGUGCAGCUGCAGAGUCCCGACUGUUGGGCGCCCUGGUGAUGAAUGCUGGAGAAAGGGUUGCUCCGGGGAAGGUGUCUGUCGCCUCCCCAAUCCCCACAGUGGGGGACUCCCUUCCCCUUAAACGAUAGCAUCUUCUAAAGUCCUUGCCACCCCUGCUGUCUGCCGGAGGCUCUAAGGCCGGGCCAAGUUUCCCUCAAGGCCAUUCCCGGUAACUAGCUAGCUACCCAGAAAGAACCAAGCGGAUGAAAGCCACUCAUUUGUCUGGCCUACGUGGGCUUGCACAGGCAGCCCAGAUCUUGGCAGCUGCUGCAAAGGCCUGAACCAGGCCCAGAACUGAAUGGGCGAGUAUGGCUGACCUUCAUCAGGGAGAUGGUGCAGUAAUUUUAAUGAUGGAUCCUCAGGACUCUCACCAAAACACACAUUUCACCUUGAAAUGCCAGUAUGGCCAAGAAUCAGGAGAUCUCUCCAAACGCUGAAACCUCAGGUCACCUCAAAUGCCAUCAGGGGCGCUCAAUAUACACAUCCACAGAGCCCUGGGACUGGAGUCUGGAAACCCGAGUUCAAAUUUAAUCUCAGACAUGAAUAGCUGUGUGACCCUGAGCAAGUCAUUUGCCUCAGUCUCUGCAACUGCAGACAAUGAUAAUACAUCACAAGUCCUUACAGGACUGGAAAAAGUACAUAUUUUCUGGUCCUUUGGGGGGAAUCACAGAAACAUUUUUUUAUUUUAAAAAUUUAUUGAAUUAUUAAUUAUUUUUAAUUCCUUGAUUACUGUUAAAAGAGUUUUUGAAAAGCGAUUGGGCUUAAGUGACUUGCCCAGAGUCACACAGCUAAUGUCUGUUAAGUGUCUGAGGCUUGAUUUGAAUCAAGGUCCUUUUGACCCCAGGGCUGGUGCUCUAACUGCCCCUAUAAAAUUUACUUUUUACAUUUUGUUGACAACAUUUUAUAUGGAUCCGACCGAUACUUUCUAAUGAAGACCCCACUGUACUCUUUAACCUAAUAC